GAGAGAGAGAGAGAGAGAGGAAGCCAUGACAGCUCGGAAGAGAGCAACAUCGGAGGCCGCCUACGCCAACGCCGCGAAGCCUCCAUCAACCGAAACCACCACCACCACCGCAAAGCCUCCGACAACGGACCCUCCAAUUGCCCCGUCGAAGGAGGGCCAAAUCCUGAAAGUAUUUCUCCUUUUCUUCCUCCCGUACUUGUACCUGAUCUUCUGUCACUACAAGAUCGAACAGGACCUCAAGCGAACCAUCCUCAUCAACGCCGCCCUCCGCCGGAUUCUUUCUGACCCUAGCCAUGAUCCCCGUCGCGUCUAGAUACGUUUUGAGGCGCAAUUUGUUUGGCUACGACAUAAACAAGAAAGGCACCCCUCAAGGCUCUGUCAAAGUGUGAGAUGGAAAGAAGAUGCAGGAAAAAUUAUCAUUAAUGGGACCAACUUUAAACUGUUACAGUGUCAUGGGCAUUCUCCUUCUGAACACACCAUCAAUGGAACAAGAUACAAGUUGGAGCUUCACGUUAUUCAUCUGAGCUCAAACAGAACGAUAGCUGUUAUUGGGAUUACUUACAAGUAUGGCCGUCCCGAUCCUUUUCUUGCAAAGGUA